rnacentral:rRNA from 1 species
CGGCGUGCCUAAUACAUGCAAGUCGAGCGGAUCUUGUCCUUCGGGACAAGGUUAGCGGCGGACGGGUGAGUAACACGUAGGCAACCUGCCCUCAAGACUGGGAUAACCUCCGGAAACGGAUGCUAAUACNNGAUAUGCGGUUUCUCCUCCUGGAGAGACCGGGAAAGACGGAGCAAUCUGUCACUUGGGGAUGGGCCUGCGGCGCAUUAGCUAGUUGGUGAGGUAACGGCUCACCAAGGCGACGAUGCGUAGCCGACCUGAGAGGGUGAUCGGCCACACUGGGACUGAGACACGGCCCAGACUCCUACGGGAGGCAGCAGUAGGGAAUCUUCCGCAAUGGACGCAAGUCUGACGGAGCAACGCCGCGUGAGUGAGGAAGGCCUUCGGGUCGUAAAGCUCUGUUGCCAGGGAAGAACGGGGGAAGA